UACGAAGGGGGCUAGCGUUGUUCGGAUUUACUGGGCGUAAAGCGCACGUAGGCGGAUCCUUAAGUCAGGGGUGAAAUCCCGGGGCUCAACCUCGGAACUGCCUUUGAUACUGGGGAUCUCGAGUCCGGGAGAGGUGAGCGGAACUGCGAGUGUAGAGGUGAAAUUCGUAGAUAUUCGCAAGAACACCAGUGGCGAAGGCGGCUCACUGGCCCGGUACUGACGCUGAGGUGCGAAAGCCAGGGGAGCAAACGGG
rnacentral:rRNA from 1 species